rnacentral:rRNA from 1 species
AAAUUGAAGAGUUUGAUCAUGGCUCAGAUUGAACGCUGGCGGCAGGCCUAACACAUGCAAGUCGAGCGGAAACGACUUAACUGAACCUUCGGGGAACGUUAAGGGCGUCGAGCGGCGGACGGGUGAGUAAUGCCUAGGAAAUUGCCUUGAUGUGGGGGAUAACCAUUGGAAACGAUGGCUAAUACCGCAUAAUGCCUACGGGCCAAAGAGGGGGACCUUCGGGCCUCUCGCGUCAAGAUAUGCCUAGGUGGGAUUAGCUAGUUGGUGAG